ACGAACGCUGGCGGCGUGCUUAACACAUGCAAGUCGAGCGGUAAGGCCCUUUCGGGGUACGACGAGCGGCGAACGGGUAGAGUAACACGUGGGUGACCUCGCCCUCCAGCUCUGGGAGUAAGCCGUCGGGAAACCGGGGUACUAAUACUGGAUAUGACUCCAUGACGCAUGUUGUGGGGUGGAAAGCCUUGUGCGGCUGAGGA
rnacentral:rRNA from 1 species